rnacentral:rRNA from 1 species
GAUGAACGCUGGCGGCGUGCUUAACACAUGCAAGUCGAACGAUGAAGCCCAGCUUGCUGGGUGGAUUAGUGGCGAACGGGUGAGUAACACAUGAGUAACCUGCCCUUAACUCUGGGAUAAGCCUGGGAAACUGGGUCUAAUACCGGAUAGGAGCGUCCACCGCAUGGUGGGUGUUGGAAAGAUUUAUCGGUUUUGGAUGGACUCGCGGCCUAUCAGCUUGUUGGUGAGGUAAUGGCUCACCAAGGCGACGACGGGUAGCCGGCCUGAGAGGGUGACCGGCCACACUGGGACUGAGACACGGCCCAGACUCCUACGGGAGGCAGCAGUGGGGGAUAUUGCACAAUGGGCGCAAGCCUGAUGCAGCGACGCCGCGUGAGGGAUGACGGCCUUCGGGUUGUAAACCUCUUUCAGUAGGGAAGAAGCGAAAGUGACGGUACCUGCAGAAGAAGCACCGGCUAACUACGUG